GUAGCCAAUAGUAGGAAUAGGAAAGAACUAAAAAAACAACCAUUUUUAUUGAAGGACAGCCAUUUUACUUUCGGACAUUAUUUUUACCGGGAAAAACGAAAUGAUUGUAAGCGUGUUACUGAAGAACCACUUUACUAUUUUCAUGUCGCAUGUGACAUUAUCGACUCAGCGUUAAGAAAGACUACAGCGCCAGUAAAACGAUAAAAAACAUAAUUACACAUCGAUAUUCGAUAUUCGAUAUAUCAUCGAUAUAAUUUAUCGAUUUAACGUGCAUUUUAAGCGGUGAGAACAGCAAAAAGAAGUGUGUCCAAAAAUCAUCAGGAAGGAAAGAAUAUAGAAAUCAUGAAAAUUGGUGAGUGAAAAGCAUUAAGCACAGUAUGGUCAUCGACGAAGGACAUGACGGAGUUCAUAGCUUUCCUACAAUAUGAAGGGUUAGGUAAGUAAUGGAAUAAAACUAUAUAUGUCUGUUUUUAUACGUUAACCUGAAUAAACGAUUGAUUCAAAUGAUCAUUUUCAA